AUUCAAGAAUCUAAUGAGCUCCCUCUGUAGAGCACCACCUUCUUUGGUUCUUCUGUGAGAAGUAGCGCCAAAUCCAGUGGUGACUCCAUAGCUAUCUGUUCCGUUGUUCAUACUAUCCAUGACCCAGUCACUACUCGCCUUAACACCAGCUCUAGCCGACUCUGCAAGCUCCACCUUCACAGAAGAAUCACAGCGGCCGCCGUUGGCAAUAGCU
rnacentral:misc_RNA from 1 species